CCCCCCCUCCCUCCCUCCCUCCUCUCUUCAUAUGUCCUAACCCUGGUCUCCCUCCCUCCUCCCAUCCAUCCAUCUUUCUCUCUGUACAGCAUCAGUAUUAUUCAUAUGUUCUUAUAUAAGGUCUCUUCUCUUUUGUCAGCUACAGUCACUCUGUUUAUAUAACCUGCUGUGUGUUUUAUACACACAAUUACAGACACGAUACCUAGCCUCCAGCCUAACCUUGACCUCCUUGGUCAUGUGUGUACUAUCUAUCGUCUCUAAAUGUAUCCAUCUAUCUCAAUCACACAGAUACUGUCUAUAUCUGGGUCUGGUCUGGUAUAAAUGUGUCAUAUCUGAUCCUGAUAACUCUUAUAUCUAGCUAGGUUUUACUUCUGGUGUAGUAAGGUGCAUCCUGGGUAAUGUGAGAGGAGAUAUAUACAUCUUAAAUGAGCCACACUCUCUUUCAUCCCUCUCCUUUCUCUCAAAGCACUCGAGACAAACCUUUUAAACACAAAAUCUUUUUAUUUCUUGUUUUUACAGCAAUAUUCUUCAGAAGGUUCCACAUGGAAUAUCUGAGGCAGUAAUACAGAUGAUGUCAUUAUUAACCACAUCUAGUUUGUAUCUGCUGAACGUUGCACAGAAAAGGAAUUGAGAACAAAUGAAAAGAAAACAAAUUCUUACUAAGAUGGAGGGAUGGAGACAGGCUGGGCUCUGAUUGGUCAGACAGCCCAGACCAGGAAGUGGCAUCACUGUUUAAAGGGAAAGACAACAGUGUGAGUGGCGGGUGUGUGGUGAAGUUAGGGCGAGACUCCGGCCUGAUGCUGUGGUUGCCGUGGUAACUGUACACAAUGUUGUGUUCUAAACCGCCACUAGGCUGAUGACACACAAACAAACACAGCACAAAUAAACGAGUGGAGAAACAGAAUAAAAAAGAAAGACAUUAAAAGCAGAAAUCCCCUUGAUAUAUCGACCCAGUAUCACCCCAAUAUCAACCCAGUAUCAACCCAGUAUUACCCCAAUAUCACCCCAAUAUAGACCCAGCAUUACCCCAAUAUUACCCCUGCUUCACCCCAGUAUCAACCCAAUAUCGCCCCAGUAUUGCCCCAGUAUCAACCCAAUAUUGCCCCAGUAUCACCACAAUAUUACACCAAUAUCACCCCAAUAUUACCCAAAUAUCGCCCCAGUAUUGCCCCAAUAUUACCCCAAUAUCGCCCCAGUAUUGCCCCAAUAUCGCCCCAGUAUUGCCCCAAUAUCGCCCCAGUAUUGCCCCAAUAUUACCUCAAUAUCACCCCAGUGUUGCCCCAAUAUCACCCCAGUAUUACCCCGAUAUUGCCCCAAUAUCAUCUCAAUAUAUCGUCCACUUCCCUUAAAGUAUUCAAACGCACCACAGGUAUUCAAACUGACCUAGCAACUAGUGACCUAGCGAUAUGUCUUACAGCUAGGUACCCAGGACCUAUAUGAUCUAGUGGCUAACAGCUAGCUAACCAGGACCUAGCGACCUAGGGGCUAACAGCUAGCUAACCAGAACCUAGCAGUAUGGCUAACAGCUAGCUGGCUAACCAGGAUCUAGCGGCUAACAGCUAGCUGGCCAACCAGGACACCAGGACCUAGCGGCUAACAGAGCAGCUCUACCACAACAAACUGAACAGAAGAUAAAACACACUAACUGACAUUACUAAAAGUCUGUCUGUUAGCCAGCCGCCUCUAUCUCUACUCUAACCAUUACUCUGUCUUAACCUCUAACCUUUACCCUUCACUCUGUUAACCUGACACUACUUAACUCUUUAUUAAUCUUACAGCGUUGGAAAAUUCAUAGGUAUCAUAUCAUCAUGCCAUCUUUUAUUUUAAAUCUCAAAUCCUCUAUGUGUCUAAAGCAUCCACAAGAAAAUAUCUAUUUACACUCAGUCACCCACUCUGAUAUAUGUCAUAUAUAUUGUUGAAGAAACAUUCUCUGAUUAAAUGGACUGAAAACAACAAAAAUAUCCUGGACUUGUGUGUGUGUGUGUGUGUGUGUGUGUGUGUGUGUGUGUGUGUGUGUGUGUGUGUGUGUGUGUGUGUGUGUGUGUGUGUGUGUGUGUGUGUGUGUGUGUGUGUGUGUGUGUGUGCGCCCGCGCCGUAGAAGGCUUUCAUUUCAGAUAAAGGAGACAUCCAUUUCAAAAGUAUAAAUUAAAUUAAAGACCAAAUUCAUCAACACACAAAAAAUAAAAAUUGUUUGAUAAGUUACUAAGAACCCUAAGAGGAGGAGGAAGAGGAGGAAGAGAAAAGCAUAAUUAUUCGAUGUAGAAAGGUGGAGAGUGGGAAAAUGAGGAAGAGCAGAGGGCAGGGGGAGGGGCGUUGAU
rnacentral:lncRNA from 13 species